rnacentral:lncRNA from 1 species
AUUAAUACCUGCAUGCUGUGGAAGACUGAAGGAUUUAGAAGGAUAACGCAAAGGUACAUGCACACUGUCCCCUACUCUUAUCUCUGAUCUCUGACAUCAUAAUCUCCAGCCUUUUUUCCCUCUAUUUAACUGUGGACUUGUGGGAGAACGCACACACACACACACUCUCUGUCUCUCUCAAUCAAUCCUUUCCACAUGGCAGAAUGUUUUUGUUGUUUGGGAGGGGUGGGGAGAUAAAUAUGAUGCAAAAAUCUUAUCACUUCUCUCCAUGUCAAAGAUAAUCUUGUUAAUUGCAACCACUGCCAUGCAAUCACAAAGGCAUGGAGAAUUCCUGAGAGAAAAAAAAAGAUUAAUAAUAUCUUUUUCUUUCUGAGGAAAGUUCACACCAAACUAUACAAAAUAUUUGAACUUAUCCUCUCGGUGUUUACAGCUCCUCUUUGGUUGCCAGUGGCGUGCAUGGCGAUCACCUCCUUCCUGCUGAUGGUGACUUGUAUUGUCAUGGCAUAUAGAUUGAUGAGCAAACACUUUGAGGGUACACAAUGACAUGGUUGGUAUUGUCUUAUAUGCAGAUGUGUUAAUUCAUCUGAAACAGUAUACUAAUUAAUAUGAUUGGUAUAUAGAUUUGAUCAAAGAAAAGAGAGAGAGAGAGAGAGAGAGAGAGAGAGAGAGAGAAUUGGUUUUGACCACUAGAUUAUUAGAAAAAAAAAAGUCAUGGAGAUUUUACAUAUUUAUAUGUCACUCCAUCUGCAAUUUUACAUAAAUUUAAGGAUAAGAGAGGUAUGAUUCAAUGGUUUGGGCCGUAUAAAUGCAUCUCUAUCUGCAAUUAUGAAGUAUGUAUCCAGGAAUCAUUUAAUGGUAUGAUUGGGCGCAAUGAUUGCACGUUGACAAAGAGGGCUGGUGGCAGAUCAUUAUCUUAUUAUAUUCUCCUCGAUAAGCUUUUGUGCAAUUAAUUGGGUGUCAUUUUCCUUAAUUUUUACGUGCCAACCAUAUUAUUUGUUUGUGGAUGCUUUUGUAGAUAUUAUUAUUAUCUAACUUUGAUGUGUCUACAUGAAUCCCAAUCG